rnacentral:rRNA from 1 species
GACGAACGCUGGCGGCGUGCUUAACACAUGCAAGUCGAACGCAGUGGCGGACGUGUGAGUAACGCGUGAUCCAUCUGCCUUACACAAAGGGAUAGCCUCGGGAAACCGGGAUUAAUUCCAUAUGGUGUAAGAUGGGCUGGCGUCCCAUUACUUAGUUGGUGAGGUAACGGCCCACCAAGGGAGCGAUGGUUAGCCGAUCUAAGAGGAUGGCCGGGCACAGUGGAGGUGAGAAACGGAGGAAAAUCCUACGGAAGGGAGGAGUGGGGAAUAAGGCACAAUGGGGGAAUGACGGAGGCAGCGAGGCCGCGUGAGCGAUGAAGGCUGUAGAGUCGUAAAGCUGUGUCGUAUGGGAAGCGGUACCAUAGAAGAAAGCCACGGCUAAUUACGUGCCAGCAGCCGCGGUAAUUC